rnacentral:misc_RNA from 1 species
UACAUCCUCAACCUUCUUGGUUUCUUGACCGGGAAGGCUUGGACUUUGGAGGUUUUCCUUGCUGGCUUCCCUUUUGAAGCCAGCUCCUCCUAAAUGAAUUAGUAGGGUCCGCAUUGCCGAUCCCUUGACGUGAUAAGUAUUGCUUCUACGUCUUGGGUUUCGCACCAUUGUCCUGGAACCUGCUUCCAACAGUCUUCGAAUAGAAGACGACGUUCGAGUUGCAUCGCGACUUGACCUCAGUGA